UCGGAAUGAGUACRCUUUAARUCCUUUAACAAGGAUCCAUUGAAGGGCAAGUCUGGUGCCAGCAGCCGCGGUAAUUCCAGCUUCAAWAGCGUAUAUUAAAGUUGUUGCGGUUAAAAAGCUCGUAGUUGGUUCUGCGUGCUACGCUGUCGGUUCGCCGCCUGCCGGUGUAACUGGCAUGCCGUGGCAUGUCCUGCCGGUGGCGUGCGGGAGCCUCGUCAGGUGACGGCCCGGGUUCGCUCGGUGCCGUAGGCCGGAGGACCAACCCGUGCGCCUACUCUAUCCUACCUAGGUGCUCUUCACCGAGUGUCGAGGUAGGCCGGUACGUUUACUUUGAACAAAUUAGAGUGCUCAAAGCAGGCUGAAAUCUCUGCCUGAAUAGUGGUGCAUGGAAUAAUAAAACAGGACCUUGGUUCUAUUUUGUUGGUUCUUAGGAACACAAGGUAAUGAUCAAUACGGACAGGCGGGGGCAUUCGUAUUGCGACGUUAGAGGUGAAAUUCUUGGAUCGUCGCAAGACGCACAAGAGCGAAAGCAUUUGCCAAGUAUGUCUUGAUUGAUCAAGAACGAAAGUUAGAGGUUCGAAGGCGAUCAGAUACCGCCCUAGUUCUAACCAUAAACGAUGCCAGCCAGCGAUCCGCCGAUGUUCCUCCGAUGACUCGGCGGGGAGCUUCUUCCCGGGAAACCAAAGCUUUUGGGUUCCGGGGGAAGUAUGGUUGCAAAGCUGAAACUUAAAGGAAUUGACGGACCACCAGGAGUGGAGCCUGCGGCUUAAUUUGACUCAACACGGGAAACCUCACCAGGCCAGGACAUUGGAAGGAUUGACAGAUUGAUAGCUCUUUCUUGAUUCAGUGGGUAGUGGUGCAUGGCCGUUCUUAGUUGGUGGAUCGAUUUGUCUGGUUAAUUCCGAUAACGAACGAGACUCUAGCCUAUUAACUAGGCGUUUUCCGGUGUCCCCGCCACCGGCGACAAUCAUUCUUCUUAAGGGGACAGGCGGCUUAUAGCCGCACGAGAUUGAGCAAUAACAGGUCUGUGAUGCCCUUAGAUGUCCUGGGCCGCACGCGCGCUACACUGAAGGAAUCAGCGUGUGCCUCCCAGGCCGAAAGGCCCGGGUAAUCCGCUGAACCUCCUGCGUGCUAGGAAUUGGGGCUUGCAAUUGUUCCCCAUGAACGAGGAAUUCCCAGUAAGCGCGAGUCAUAAGCUCGCGUUGAUUACGUCCCUGCCCUUUGUACACACCGCCCGUCGCUACUACCGAUUGAAUGAUUUAGUGAGGUCUUCGGACUGGCGGUAAUCCCUA
rnacentral:rRNA from 1 species